AGCGAACGCUGGCGGCAGGCCUAACACAUGCAAGUCGAACGAACCUUUCGGGGUUAGUGGCGGACGGGUGAGUAACACGUGGGAACGUGCCUUUAGGUUCGGAAUAACUCAGGGAAACUUGUGCUAAUACCGAAUGUGCCCUUCGGGGGAAAGAUUAAUCGCCUUUAGAGCGGCCCGCGUCUGAUUAGCUAGUAGGUUGAGGUAAUGGCUCACCAAGGCGACGAUCAGUAGCUGGUCUGAGAGGAUGAUCAGCCACAUUGGGACUGAGACACGGCCCAAACUCCUACGGGAGGCAGCAGUGGGGAAUCUUGCGCAAUGGGCGAAAGCCUGACGCAGCCAUGCCGCGUGAAUGAUGAAGGUCUUAGGAUUGUAAAAUUCUUUCACCGGGGACGAUAAUGACGGUACCCGGAGAAGAAGCCCCGGCUAACUUCGUG
rnacentral:rRNA from 1 species